rnacentral:RNase_P_RNA from 1 species
GGAGGAGGUGAGGCGGUCGCUGUGGGGUUUCCCCACAGAGGAAAGUCCGAACUCCGCAGGGCAGGGAAGCACGCAAGUGCCGCGCGUAAGCGCAGGGAAAGUGCCACAGAGACCAGACCGCCGCAGUUUCUGCGGUAAGGGUGAAACGGUGGGGUAAGAGCCCACCGGCGUUCGGGGUAACCCGACGGACGGGCAAACCCUUCCCGGAGCAAGGUCAAGCAGAAACGCCUUGAGGGUUGCCCGCCCGAAUCC